CUGAUGAGGAGCUUAAUGCUGUUGUCACCAAAUUGAAGCCUUAUUUCAGGAAAUACGAAUAUCCAAAGAAGCCACCUCCAAGCUUCUAUCAAGUUACAAAUAACUCAAAGGAGAGACCAGAUGUUUGGGUUGAAAGCCCAGAAAAGUGAGCAGAAGUUUUCAUGAUGAGGUGGGGCUCUUAUUUCUGUGGUUCUUACCCGUAAGUCUUGCAUGUGCAGAUCAAUUAUAUUUUCCAUCACCGGUGAUAUUCGAACAAUCAGAUCCGAGGUAUUGUCCAGAGUAGAACUCCUUCCUUUUUCCGGUGCAAUGCAUAUAACCCUGAGCAUGUCCACUGAAACUAAACUGCUAAGACCCUGAUUGGUUCCAAGUUUCUUGUUUCCUUUAUAGUUAUUAUUGUCUCGCUUCUGCAGCUUUAUUGGGCUCCAAGUUCCUUGUUUCCUUGAUAUCUUAUCUCGCCUACAACUUUGCACAACAGCAUGCUAGUAUUUUGCCAUGCUUGGUAAUGUCUAAUGAUUUAAUUAAGUUGGUCUUGGCACCACAAUUUCUAUCAUUCAAGGUAUUUGCUGCUCCAUAUAGUUUGAGAUUUCCACGGAUUGAUCGUGUCACAUACGACAAACCUUGGCACAUGAAUGCCUUGAUGUGCAGUGUGAGUGGAUGAAAUCAGUUUACUGCCUUAUGGUCUUCAAUAGAUUAUAACAAGCUCGUCUAGGUUUCUUAUGUUCUUUAGGGUUCACUAUAUACUCUAAUUAGUUUUACAAAGUCUCUAGUCAAAUAGAUUUCCAUGUGUAAUUUUCUUUUCACCUGUUGCAGCAUUUGUUGAAUUGGUACAUUCAAGCAACGGCACAACACAAAGGGUGAUGGAUUAUGCAGUUAUGCAGGAAGACAAACCAAAACGUGCCAAGUCAUCUAGAGGAGGGAAGAAGAAUGUUUCAGUAGUUCCUUCCCACUUUAUUCAGACUGAUGUUUCUCAAGUUAAGGGUGAAACAUCAAUAUUUCCAAACAUGGUUUUCUGUAUCCCAUUAUGGCAGUUGUAGAGUGCGAUGCGUCUUGAUAGUUGAUCUUCCUUGACAUUUAUAGACUUGGUAAAUUUACCAUCAUCCCAUUCUCUUGAUUCCUUAAUUGCAUAAAAUGGUGGUUGGGAAAUUCUUGCUCAGACAAGCUACAUCUACAUUAUACAAGCUUACCACUGUAGAAAAAAGAGAGA